rnacentral:rRNA from 1 species
GACGAACGCUGGCGGCGUGCCUAACACAUGCAAGUCGAGCGGGAUCCAUCCAGUAGCAAUACUGGUGAAGAUCUAGCGGCGAACGGGUGAGUAACACGUGAGAAACCUGCCCCGAACUUUGGGAUAACACGAGGAAACUCGUGCUAAUACCGAAUACCUUCUUCUGGUCGCAUGGCCGGAUGAAGAAAGAUUUAUCGGUUUGGGAGGGUCUCGCGGCCUAUCAGCUAGUUGGCGGGGUAAUGGCCCACCAAGGCAUCGACGGGUAGCUGGUCUGAGAGGACGAUCAGCCACACUGGGACUGAGACACGGCCCAGACUCCUACGGGAGGCAGCAGUGGGGAAUCUUGCGCAAUGGGCGAAAGCCUGACGCAGCAACGCCGCGUGCGGGAUGAAGGCCUUCGGGUUGUAAACCGCUUUCAGCAGGGAAGAAAUUGACGGUACCUGCAGAAGAAGCCCCGGCCAACUACGUGCCAGCAGCCGCGGUAACACGUAGGGGGCGAGCGUUGUCCGGAUUUAUUGGGCGUAAAGAGCUCGUAGGCGGUUCGGUAAGUCGGGUGUGAAACCUCCAGGCUCAACCUGGAGACGCCACCUGAUACUGCUGUGACUAGAGUCCGGUAGGGGAGUGUGGAACUCCUGGUGUAGCGGUGAAAUGCGCAGAUAUCAGGAAGAACACCAGCGGCGAAGGCGGCACUCUGGGCCGGUACUGACGCUGAGGAGCGAAAGCGUGGGUAGCAAACAGGAUUAGAUACCCUGGUAGUCCACGCCGUAAACGUUGGGCACUAGGUGUGGGUCUCAACCAACGAGAUCCGUGCCGCAGCUAACGCAUUAAGUGCCCCGCCUGGGGAGUACGGCCGCAAGGCUA